CCUCGCAGCGUAAGUUUUGUUUCCGGGCCGUGGUCAAGCGGUCGCGCGCGGAGCGCAUCCGGGGUGCGGGGUUGCCCCUCCGUCCCGCCGCCGCGGCCCGGUGGGGAUGGACGAGGACGGGCUGCCCAUCGUGGGCUCCGGCAUCGACCUCACCAAGGUUCCUGCUAUUCAGCAGAAAAGAACUGUAGCAUUUCUAAACCAAUUUGUGGUUCACACAGUACAGUUUCUCAACCGCUUUUCUACUGUUUGUGAAGAGAAAUUGUCAGCACUUUCUCUCCGUAUCCAACAAAUUGAAACAACACUCAAUAUUUUGGAUGCAAAGUUAUCCUCUAUUCCUGGCCUAGAAGAUGUCAAAUUUCAAGUGUCCAGUGCAAAUAUGAAUAGUGUUACAAAUGGUCCUGUGGCACAAGCUACUACGGAUCAACAGACAGAUGUAUCGCCUCAAUCUGGACAGAACAAUAUACAUGAAGAAGGGUUACAGAAAACAGAGGUAGUAACAGAAAAUGUUAGAACUGUGGCCAAGGAUCCAAGAUAUGCCAGAUAUCUCAAAAUGGUACAAGUGGGUGUUCCUGUAAUGGCAAUACGAAACAAAAUGAUUUCUGAAGGGCUAAAUCCAGAUCUUCUUGAGACCCCAGAUGCCCCUGUGCCUGCCUGGGGAGAUGAUGGGAAAGCAGAAGACAGUUCUGAUAGUGAAUCUUCAUUUAGUGACUAAAGAAGCUGAUUUCAUCCUUUGGAAACGUCUCUUAAGUGCUAAUGUGUUUCGAGCUUUUAGCAGACAAUGGGUUUGCGUGGGUCCCAUGGGUGAUGUGUAUUAGCUGACAGCAUUUUUAAGAACUAAGAUCCUCCGUGUUCUCUCCCAGAAAGUUUGAACAAGCAUCAUGUUUCAACCUGAACUUUUCCCACCAUGAAAAUUAAUCGUGGGAUCGUUGCAAUUUUUAUGCUGCAUCAGUUCAGAUGCCUUUCUGAUUCUCUGAAAUUAGUUUGUAAAACUCUAAAAAUUGCACACCUGUAAACCUUCAGGUCUCUAACACUGUAUUCUUCAUUAUUGUAUUUUCUAUCUAACACUUUUAACCUAAGUUGCCUUCUUUUUGUACCAUAACAUACAAGUAAAGUAACUUUUCGAAAUGAAAUUGUUUAAUUGUAAUCUGAUGAACUGUAUUUUUUUUUUUAAUAUACUAUGUUCUGAAGUGAUGUAAAAAGAAUUACACAGACGUCAGGUAUCUUAUGGUGAUUGCAAAUUAGUGAUACUCUGCUUUGAGAGAAACUAAAAUACAAGUGAAAAAUAUAUUAAAACCCAAUGUGAAUCUGUUUUCAAAGUAUAUACUGCUAUUCAGCCUCACAUUAGAGUCUGCACGGAGUUGUUAAUGAAAUUCCUGCUCUGUAGAAGAGUUGAUUUAUCAAAUUCAAGUUACAGUGGUGUAGAAAGCUACAAACAUUGCAAGGUGGGUUGGCAAAUGACACUGUGAAAGAAGUGACUGGGAGAUAAUUAAUGGAAUACCAGAUUCUCACGACUUGUACACUGUCACAUGGGUCAGCAGAAGCCACUUUCUGACUGCUGUUGGGCUUACUCAAAAGGAGCUGUGGCUGAGCAGUUUGCAUAGGAUAAGAAAUCACCUCCAAAUUGGUGCCCUUGCUGAAAUUUCAGCAAAGAAGCCAAAAUUCCGUUUGUAUUGUGGUAAAACUGCCUUGCUACCUCUUGAGGUGUGCAUUGGGAACAAUAUGAAGGAAUCCACUUGGAGCCUGACUGGCCCUGAAGACUUCCGUCCAAAGUACUUAAUCUAAUGCAUGAGUCAGAAGUGACAUUUCAUUAAAGAAUCUUCUUUAAUAUAGUUUGUUCCACAUGAAAUUCUUCAAUCUGUUUGAAUUCCCCAGGUUAUUGUGAUUAUAGCAGAAUGCUGUGGGCCAGGCAAUCAUUCACCCUCUGGUGUUUUCACGUUCUUCCUGAGACCGAGAAGAGACUAAAACUGAAGGUCUAAGUAUAUAAAUUUGUUAGCUUUUUAUGACCGAGUCAUUUUCUUCUCUCUUAUUUAUUGCCACUUCAGUAGGUUAUCUGCUUUUUUUUCUGAACUUAAUCAUGGCUCCCAUUUGAGUCUAGCUGACCUAUUUAAGCUCUUCAUAACCUGUAAAUCAGAGUAAUAACUGAGUCCCUAUGAAAGCAUAUAUGCACUAACAAAUGACUAGCGAUGGCGUUUCAAUGAUGAGUUAAUUAUUAUUGAACACUUAAACAAAAAUAUUCAAUAGUUAACACUUGGUAAAACUCAACAAAUAUUAACAUAUUAGCAAUAAGUAUUUCAAAAGUAAGUGUUUGAAUGUUAUUUCAGAAAGCAUAUAUUAAAACACUGGUGACUUUUUGAAAUCUAUAUUUGAAAACUCAUUGAAGCAAUCUAUAUAAUUAAAGCUAUGUUUUGUAAACCAAAGUUGUGGUUCUGUUUUAUUCCCGUAUGUUUUAAACAAGGUGAAAAUUCCCCUGGAGCCUCUGUAACGCAUGUUUCUCCAAAACUGGUUGUGCUGAAGUUGCGUCAGUCUGCUAGCUGAAGGGGAGAGUUUUAAAAAGAGGGGAUUGGAGUUCCACCUGAGCCGCGUUAGUGCUCUGACUAGAGGACUGAACAGCCCAUAGCUGCUUGUCUAACAAGAAAACGUAAGGAAGACCGAAAUUAAUAAGAACGUGGUGGCAGAGUGCACAGUCAAAAUCCAAGUGUCUGACCUGUGAGGAACCAGGGAGAAAAAGAUAAAAUCACCUCUGUGUACCCUCAGUGCCUCAGCAGCCAUAGCACUUCCACUGCCUUCGGAACCUCUGACCGCGUUUAGCUCCUCUGUUCCUGCCAGUCUCAUCUGUUAAACACAUCGCUGUACUCUUAGGUUGUAGCCAAGUUCAAUCUGAGAUGUUUCAGUUUAGGACACACGCUGACACAAGAAGCUACUAAGUAUGGGAAGGCUGGUUUGAGACUGAAUUAUGUCAGCUGUGCUAGUCCUCCUUGAUCUACAGCAGUUUUCUAGUGAGAUGGUGCUACCCCAGAAAGUUGGAAAGCCCUUAACCGCAAGCUAAAUACUAUAAGCGGAGCAUAUUCCAACUUGCUCAUUGUUUGCCAUCUGUUUUGGAAUAGAAGAUGGAGGGAGUAUUUCAACUUGGCUGCAUAGUAAUCAGAUAGACAUGGAAGAAGUCCAUUUUUAAGUGACUUUUAUUUGUAAAAAGCUCCCCACAGCAACGGACUUUUAAAAGAUGCAGUAUACGUUAAGAGGUGUCAGUCAUACACAUCUAAUACAUUGAAAUUUUACGUGGAUUUAAAAUCAUCAUCUGGGGCAAUAUUACAGUUUUUAGGCAUAAGAACUACUUCAGCUUGUUGCUGGAAUA